rnacentral:rRNA from 1 species
AGAUUGAACGCUGGCGGCAUGCCUUACACAUGCAAGUCGAACGGCAGCGCGGGGGGCAACCCUGGCGGCGAGUGGCGAACGGGUGAGUAAUAUAUCGGAACGUGCCCUGUAGCGGGGGAUAACCUAUCGAAAGAUGGACUAAUACCGCAUACGCUCUACGGAGGAAAGCGGGGGUCGCAAGACCUCGCACUAUAGGAGCGGCCGAUAUCGGAUUAGCUAGUUGGCGGGGUAAAAGCCCACCAAGGCGACGAUCCGUAGCUGGUCUGAGAGGAUGAUCAGCCACACUGGAACUGAGACACGGUCCAGACUCCUACGGGAGGCAGCAGUGGGGAAUUUUGGACAAUGGGCGCAAGCCUGAUCCAGCCACGCCGCGUGAGUGAAGAAGGCCUUCGGGUUGUAAAGCUCUUUCGGCAGGAACGAAUGGUUCGUGCUAAUACCACGGACUGAUGACGGUACCUGAAGAAGAAGCACCGGCUAACGUACGU